rnacentral:rRNA from 1 species
UGGUCAGUAGGCUGGUCGUGCCACCGGUACGUACUGGUCUCACUGAUUCCUCCUUCCUGAAGAACCGUAAUGCCAUUAAUUUGGUGUUGCGGGGAAACAGGACUGUUACUUUGAAAAAAUUAGAGUGUUUAAAGCAAGCUAGCGCUUGAAUACAUUAGCAUGGAAUAAUGAAAUAGGACGAUCGAUCCUAUUUUGUUGGUUUCCAGGAUUGACGUA